AUUGAACGCUGGCGGCAGGCCUAACACAUGCAAGUCGAACGGUAACAGGAAGAAGCUUGCUUCUUUGCUGACGAGUGGCGGACGGGUGAGUAAUGUCUGGGAAACUGCCUGAUGGAGGGGGAUAACUACUGGAAACGGUAGCUAAUACCGCAUAACGUCGCAAGACCAAAGAGGGGGACCUUCGGGCCUCUUGCCAUCGGAUGUGCCCAGAUGGGAUUAGCUAGUAGGUGGGGUAACGGCUCACCUAGGCGACGAUCCCUAGCUGGUCUGAGAGGAUGACCAGCCACACUGGAACUGAGACACGGUCCAGACUCCUACGGGAGGCAGCAGUGGGGAAUAUUGCACAAUGGGCGCAAGCCUGAUGCAGCCAUGCCGCGUGUAUGAAGAGGGCCUUCGGGUUGUAAAGUACUUUCAGCGGGGAGGAAGGGAGUAAAGUUAAUACCUUUGCCCAUUGACGUUACCCGCAGAAGAAGCACCGGCUAACUCCGUG
rnacentral:rRNA from 1 species